rnacentral:lncRNA from 1 species
CUCAUAUUCAACCAUAUCGGCAGUCUUCCUUUUCCAAAAAAAUUCUCUUUUAUCGUGAUGUUCCAUCUGGCUUACGAGACGAAACAUUACGUUAUAUAAGCCCCUGUCAGGUAUUUCAAUUAUAUGAAGACAAACUAAUAUUAAAUUAUCCAAAUACUGUAUAAAAAUACAGUAAUUUUGAAACGAAAAACAAAAUUCAUAUAAUUUACUUGAAAAUGUAAUAAUUAUUUUGAUACUAUUAUUAGAGAAACAAUAAAGACAGUUGUUGCAUUCUAAGACCGUUUAUUUAGGAAUUUUUAUCUUUGAAAUAUCUGUUAGAUUUCCAGUGGAAUAAUUUCGUACAUUAGUCUAAUGCCCGGGAGCACGCUUUCGUCUCACGUGCAACCCGACAACUCAAAUCCAAGAAUUGUCGAUAUCGUCACGUUAUUGAUAUGUCAUUUAUUAUUACAGGAUUGCUAAAUAUUUAACAACUGGUAUACCACAAUUACACGCACCAUCUGACCCGUUUGGAGCGCAAUAACCUGUCCUUGGCGAAAGGUAAGUAAGUAUUAAUCCGUCUAUCGGCACGAAUUUUAGAUCCAGAAAGAGGUAAACGGACAAGGUCGAUAGAAACCUAAGAAAAACGACUGACGAUAUAACGGUGUAACGGUGUUUGAAAAAGAGUGGUAAAUCGUUGGAAAGACAUUAAAGUCUUUAGACAAUGACCCAACCCAGACUGCACUGUAUUAUGAACGAAUAAGAAGUAGCACGAAUUUCAUUAUUCGAAGACUGGACGUUUCAUCAGUUUCGUUACAACACAUCCUUACAAACACCCCUCGCCAUAACAUUCACAAUUGAACCAUUAUCUAGUUCGUUCGUCGCAUCCAAUCAUUUACGUAUCACGCUUCGUUACCGUAAACGACACCGUCACGUAACACAAACACUGUUCUCCAAAAUCCAACCCCUAGGUCCUGGUCCUGGGAAGUGGAAACGUCACUCGACGUUUUCCAGUGGCAGAUGAAGGGGCUCUGGUAUACCGGAUAUACACACUGUAGUUCUCUUAAUCUUCUCUGUGCAACAAUGUAUUAUAUUUGUAUUUUUUGUUUCCUGCGUCCAGGACCGCAUUAAAUCAGGACAUAUCCAUCCGAAUAGCCUCGUGUCAAUAUUUUUUCUUCUAUAUCUGUAACUGUAAAAUAACCCUUGAAAUAGGACUGGGGGCAUCGUAUCUACAUAAAAAAAAUAUUUAAAAAUGAUUUUAUGUAAAUAAAAGGAAUAAAGUUGUGGAGAAAGUUGUAAUAAAGUUGGAUUUUACCUGACAGGUAUACCUGAACAGGUGCGCCUUCCGGUAUACUCGAACCUAUCGAUGGCGGAUCUGCGAGUUUUUUUAUUUAUACUUUGAUGGUUAUCGCUCCUCGUGGGGCUUCCGUAUUAUUUUCUGAGUUUUCAUUACGUGUGUAACACCUGAACAGGCGCUAUUUUGAGGGAGGCAUUUCGCCUGUCGGAAGAUCGCCCACGUUUCGCGUUGGCGUAACAAAUAAAAGAAAUGAAAUAAUUUCAUGCUUGUUUCGUGUUAUAUUUUAAUUUAUAGGUGAUAAAAAAUGGGUAUGAAAUUAUGGUGAUGAAAAAUUGUUAUCGAGCUUUAUUACAGGGCGAUGAACUCGCUUGUAAUAAAGAUGUAUUUAUUACAGAUGGUCAUCGCGUUAAUACGUGAAUUAACCUAUAAAAUCACAGCUUUUUUCUCGGAAAAUAGAGGAAAAAUAUGCCGUUUGUAUAUCAAAUAUACAAAAUAUAGAAACGGUCAGGAAAUAAAUUAAUGAGUCAUUAAAAAUCGACAAUAUUGUUUAAAAUCACAACUAACGGUCCUCGGUAUUUAAUCAAAGGCAUACACUCCUAAUUUGCUAAAAACUGUCGAAAAGUUAUUGGGUUAAGUGAAUUUAUUAGCUUCAUUUGUUACUCAUAUCGAAUUGUCUCGUAUCAUACUUAUACACAUUAUCGUCACCUUACCAAAUUCGUUUGCAUUUUGACUGCUAAAUAACUGUAUGCAGAUUGAACAGUGGUAAUUACUACCUGGUGUAUAUAUAUGUUAAGGCUGAAGCCCUGAAAUCUGCUUGUAAGCUAGGUAAAGCGCAACAUUGGUAGAUUGUCACUCGCUUUGCCCAAAGUAAAAAUUAGGCAGUUAAUCCUAGUUUAUGGCAGUGUUAAAUAUUUUCAUUGGCAAAUAAACCAAAUAAAAAUCAGUACUGUAUAAAUAUAACAAUUAAGAAAUUUAUAGAACGAAAAUAAACACCUGGAAUAUAAAUGAAUAUUUCACGUGAUUCGCUGUAUGACGAAUAGCACGUGCGACGUAGUCAAGUUUAUUCUACAUCCAAAUAUCACGUGACUGAUGAUAUUUGUGAAUAAAUCAUAGCGUUUCGGAUCGUCACAAACGGUGCUUUUAACUCGCUUACAAAGAGGAAACACGAGAAAUGAAUAAGUUCACGUUUAUAUUCGUCAUUAUCGUAAUUGUUCUCUCGAGAAGCGGAGAAGGUAGAAACAGAAAUGCCCAAGACCGCAGUUCCAUUUACGACCUAGUGACGUUGAAUA